rnacentral:lncRNA from 1 species
GAAAAAUCCAGCAGAGGCUCUCCAGGCUUUCAGUUCUGGAAUGCUGCAGGCAGGGGAAGAGCUAGAAAUAACUCUCACCCCACACUCUGGCAGUCCAUGUUUUCAGCCACCAAGGACUGGGGACAGGGCAGAAGAGAAGGAGAGAAGAGAACGUGGCAGAAGACAUAUUUGAAGAGACAAUGCUCAGGAACUUCUAAAAUUGAUGAGGUCAUCAAUUCACAAAUGGAAGGAGUUCAGCAAAUCCCAAGCAAGUUAAAUACAAAACAAAAAUAAGCCAACAAAUUUAAAAAUCCCAUAUAUAGGCAUAUCAUAAUCAAACUGCUGAAAACUGAAGAUGGAAGAGAUCUUACAAGCAACAGGAGAGCAACAGGAGAAUAAAAGACACAUUAGUUAUGUGAGAAUGGCAACAUGGGUUAUGGCUAUUCCAUGUUUUAGGACCAGAAAAAAAUGGAGUCUUAGCUGAGCAUGGUGGCACAUGCUUGAACCCAGGAGUUUGAGUCCAGCCUGAGUAAAGUAGUGAGACCCCAUCUCUAUUUAAAAAAGAAAAGAAGUCCAGGCACGGUGGCUCACACCUGUAAUCUCAGAACUUUGGGAGGUGGGCAAAUCACAAGGUCAAGAGGUCGAGACCAUCCUGGCCAACAUGGUGAAACUGCGUCUCUACUAAAAAUACAAAAAUUAGCCGGGUGUGGUGGUGCACACCUG